CCUGCUCUUCGGGGCAUUGCAACUGUGGCAGAGGUAUGUGUGCAGGAGCCACGGCAGGUGGCAGAGAGGCUGUCUACAUACUCUCUGUGUUCUGAUCUGUGAACAUCUGAGUGAUUAGUAGCCUAAUAUU